rnacentral:rRNA from 1 species
GAUGAACGCUGGCGGCGUGCCUCAAACAUGCAAGUCGAGCGGGGCUAUGUAAUAUCGCAAGGUAGAACAUAGCCUAGCGGCGAACGGGUGAGUAACACGUGGGUAACCUGCCUGGAAGACAGGGAUAACGAUUCGAAAGGGUCGCUAAUACCUGAUAAUAUCCUUUCAUUCGCAUGGUGAUAGGAAGAAAGGGGAAACCCGCUUUCAGAUGGGCCCGCGUCCCAUCAGCUAGUUGGUAAGGUAAAGGCUUACCAAGGCGACGACGGGUAGCCGGUCUGAGAGGAUGUACGGCCACACUGGGACUGAGAUACGGCCCAGACUCCUACGGGAGGCAGCAGUUGGGAAUCUUAGGCAAUGGACGAAAGUCUGACCUAGCGACGCCGCGUGAGGGAAGAAGGCCUUCGGGUUGUAAACCUCUGUCAUGGGGGAAGAAGUAAGUGACGGUACCCCAAGAGGAAGCCCCUGCUAACUACGUG